UUAGCGCUGCGGCAGGCUUACACAUGCAAGUCGAGCGGUAGCACAGGGGAGCUUGCUCCCUGGGUGACGAGCGGCGGACGGGUGAGUAAUGUCUGGGAAACUGCCUGAUGGAGGGGGAUAACUACUGGAAACGGUAGCUAAUACCGCAUAACGUCGCAAGACCAAAGAGGGGGACCUUCGGGCCUCUUGCCAUCAGAUGUGCCCAGAUGGGAUUAGCUAGUAGGUGGGGUAAUGGCUCACCUAGGCGACGAUCCCUAGCUGGUCUGAGAGGAUGACCAGCCACACUGGAACUGAGACACGGUCCAGACUCCUACGGGAGGCAGCAGUGGGGAAUAUUGCACAAUGGGCGCAAGCCUGAUGCAGCCAUGCCGCGUGUGUGAAGAAGGCCUUCGGGUUGUAAAGCACUUUCAGCGAGGAGGAAGGUGGUGAGCUUAAUACGCUCAUCAAUUGACGUUACUCGCAGAAGAAGCACCGGCUAACUCCGUGCCAGCAGCCGCGGUAAUAA
rnacentral:rRNA from 1 species